rnacentral:rRNA from 1 species
CCAGCAGCCGCGGUAAUUCCAGCUCCAAUAGCGUAUAUUACAGUUGUUGCAGUUAAAAAGCUCGUAGUUGAAUUUUUGGUAUAGGUUGGCUCGCUUUCGGCCUCCGGUCGUUAGUGUUGUUCACCUUGCCUUUUUUGUAGUGAGCGUGUUGGGCCUUCACGGGUUUGGCAUGGGAACUACAUCAUUUACUGUGAAAAAAUUAGAGUGUUCAAGGCAGGCGUUUCGCACAUGAAUACAUUAGCAUGGAAUAAUAAGAUAGGACCUUUGUUGCUAUUUUGUUGGUUUGCGCAAUAAGGUAAUGGUUAACAGGGACAGUUGGGGGUAUUCGUAUUCGGUUGUCAGAGGUGAAAUUCUUGGAUUUACGGAAGACGAACGACUGCGAAAGCAUUUACCAAGGAUGUUUUCAUUAAUCAAGAACGAAAGU